rnacentral:lncRNA from 1 species
GCCAGGCUGUCGCGCUCUUCUGGAGGGUGCCUGCAGCGACUGAAUUCUUGUGCUGCGACGGUGCCGCGCCCAGAGCAGCAACCACAGCGACGAUGCCAGGCCAUUACCUGUUUGAUCCCUGCGGGAAAGCUGGCACCGGCCAACUUUUGCCGAUCUUCAGGCUGCGAAGUUGCAAGGACUAGUGGAAGCGCCGGAGGGGCCAGGGCGAGGGCGCGCUCCCCCGUGCGCUGCCUCCUCCCUCCUCGCGCCCGCCGCCCGCGCCCGCGGCCUCUCUCCUGCCCGCGCGCUCUCCCUCCGCCCGCCUCCCUCCUCUGGCCCCCUCCACGCGCCACAGGGCGGGGGUGCCGCGAAACUCCGACCCGAG